AGAACACACUAUGGAUCUACCAACUGAUUCGCUAGGCCAAGAUGAAAUGGGAGCUGAGUAUGUUUUUGGAAGUCAACACCAUCCACAUCUCUUAUAGUUGAUAAUAAGAGCACUGAUGGGCACUUCUUACGCAUUCAUUUCAACAUCAGGUUAGACUUUGCUAUGAUGUUUCUUUUUUUU